UGUCCCACAUCCCCCUGUCCCCCUGUCCCCCCGCCCCCCGCCCGCAGGUGGCGCAGCUGCUGGCGCUGUCGGGUCGCUUGGAGGCGGAGCUGCGCGCGGUGCGCGAACAGAGCGCGGAGCUGCGGCUGCGGCUGCAGGUGGGCGGGGGGCGGCAGCGCACGGGGCGCCGCUGUGGCACCGCUGUGUCACCUCUGUGUCACCUCUGUGUGUCACCUCUGUGUCACCUCCGUGUGUCACCGCUGUGUGUCACCUCCGUGUGUCACCUGUGUGUCACCGCUGUGUGUCACCUCCGUGUGUCACCUCUGUGUGUCACCUGUGUGUCACCUGUGUGUCACCUCUGUGUGCCACCUCCGUGUGUCACCUCCAUGUGUCACCGCUGUGUGUCACCACUGUGUGUCACCUCUGUGUCACCGCUGUGUCACCUCUGUGUGUCACCUCUGUGUGUCCCCUCCGUGUGUCACCUCCAUGUGUCACCUCUGUCACCGCUGUGGCACCUCCGUGUGUCACCUCUGUGUCACCUCCGUGUCACCUCUGUGUCACCUCCGUGUGUCACCUCUGUGUCACCGCUGUGUCACCUCUGUGUGUCACCUCUGUGUCACCUCCAUGUCACCUCUGUGUCACCUCCGUGUGUCACCUCCGUGUGUCACCUCUGUGUCACCUCUGUGUCACCUCUGUGUCACCUCCAUGUGACACCUCUGUGUGUCACCUCCGUAUGUCACCUCCGUGUGGCACCACUGUGUGUCACCUCCGUGUGUCACCUCCAUGUCACCGCUGUGUCACCUGUGUGUCACCUCCGUGUGUCACCUCUGCGGCACCGCUGUGGCACCUGUGUGUCACCUCCAUGUGUCACCUGUGUGUCACCUCCGUGUGGCACCUCUGUGUCACCGCUGUGUCACCUGUGUGUCACCUCCGUGUGUCACCUCUGUGUCACCACUGUGGCACCUCCGUGUGCCACCUCCGUGUGUCACCUCUGUGUGUCACCGCUGUGUCACCUGUGAGCCACCUCCGUGUGUGACCUCCGUGUGUCACCGCUGUGUGUCACCUCUGUGUCACCGCUGUGGCACCUCUGUGUGUCACCUGUGUGUCACCUCCGUGUGUCACCUCCAUGUGUCACCUGUGUGCCACCUCCGUGUGUCACCUCCGUGUGUCACCUGUGUGUCACCUCCUUGUGUCACCUCCGUGUGGCACCGCUGUUUGUCACCGCUGCGUGUCACCUCUGUGUCACCUCUGUGUCACCUCCGUGUGUCACCUCCGUGUGUCACCGCUGUGUCACCACUGUGUCACCUCUGUGUCACCUCUGUGUGUCACUGCUGUGUCACCUCUGUGUGUCACCUCCAUGUGUCACCUCUGUGUCACCUCCGUGUGUCACCUCUGCGUCACUUCACCUCACUCCUCUGUCACCUCUGUCACCUGCUGUCACCUCACCCCACCCCCGGUGUCACCGCGUGUCACCUCACCUCAUCCUCAGUGUCACCCCGUGUCACCUCACCUCAGCCUUGGUGUCACCUGUUGUCACCUCACUCUCACUUCACGCCCACUGUCACGCUGUGUCACAUCACAUCACCCCCUGCUGUCACCCACUGUCACCUCACCUCAUCUCCAUUGUCACCUCUGUCACCCCGUGUCACCCCGUGUCACAUCGUGUCACCCCCUGGUGUCACCCCGUGUCACCUCACUGCACCCCUGGUGUCACCCUGUGCCAUGUCACAUCACCCCCCCGCUGUCACCUGGUGUCACCUCACCUCACCCUCUGUCACCUCAUCCCUGUUGUCACCCUGUGUCACCUUAUGUCACCCCCCGGUGUCACCCUGCACUGUAUCACAUCACCCUCAGGUGUCACCUGGUGUCACCCAAUGUCACCUCACCCCUUGGUGUCAUCCGGCGCUACGUCACGUUGUGUCACCCCCCUGUGUCACCUCGUGUCACCUCGUGGUGUCACCCUGUGGCGUCACCCAGAAUCAUCGCAUGGUGUCACCUGCUGUCCCCAUGUGGUGUCACCUGGCAUCCCCCCAUGAUGUCACCGUCACCCCAUGGUGUCACCCAACGUCACCCCACAUCCCCACAUGGUGUCACCCAGUCACCCCAUGCUGUCACCCGACAUCCUCCCAUGGUGUCACCCAGUGUCACCCCAUGGUGUCACCCCACAUCCCUGCACGUUGUCACCCAAUGUCACCCCACGGUGUCACCCCACAUCCCCGCAUGUUGUCACCCAACGUCACCCCACGCUGUCACCCCCCAACCCCCAUGUCCCACGUUGCCUCCACUCCCGCAGCUGCAGCAGCAGAACCACCGCCACGUUGUGGCCGUUUAUCGCACGCAUCUCCUGAGCGCAGCGCAGGGCUCCCUGGAUGAAGCUGCGCACCAACUGCUGCUGCACAUCGCUGCGCUGCGCUGAGCUGAGCUGCGGGCGUCGCGACACCGGGGGACGGGGGGGGACAUCAGAACAUGGGGACAUGUGGGGACAUGGGGGGACAUCAGAACAUGGGGACAUAUGGGGACAUGGGGGGACAUCAGAACACGGGGACGUGUGGGGACAUCGGAAUGCAGGGACAUAUGGGGACGUGGGGACGGAUGGGGACAUCAGAACACAGGGACAUAUGGGGACAUCGGAACAUGGGGACGGGGGGACAUCAGAACAUGGGGACAUAUGGGGAUGUGGGGGGGACAUCAGAACACGGGGACGUGUGGGGAUGUGGGGGGACGUAUGGGGACAUCAGAAGAUGGGGACAUAUGGGGACAUCGGAACGUGGGGACAUGGGGGGACGUAUGGGGACGUCGGAGCAUGGGGACACAUGGGGACGUGGGGGGACAUCAGAACAUGGAGACACAUGGGGACGUGGGGACCUAUGGGGACAUGGGGACAUAUGGGGAUGUGGGGGGGCAUAUGGGGACGUGGGGACAUAUGGGGGGGCAUGGGGGCAUAUGGGGACAUGGGGGGGCAUAUGGGGACGCAUGGGAACGUGGGGGGACGUCGGAACACGGGGACACAUGGGGACAUGUGGGGACACAUGGGGACAUGUGGGGAUUUGGGGCGGCGGCUCGGCGCAUUAAAGCGGAGCGGCGCAGCGCUGUGAAAGACGUGCGGUGAUUUUUUCCGAGCGGCUCAGCGCCCCACACCCACCCUAUGGCCGCCCCACCGCCACCCUAUGGCACCCCCCAUAAAAUCCGUCCCUCUCCAAAGGACCCAGCGCCUAUAGGACCCCCCACCAGAGCACCCACCUGCUGUAGGACCCGCUCCUCCAGGACCCAUCCGUCCCUAUAAAACCCGCUCCCAUAGAACCUGCACCUAUAGAACCCACCCGACCCUAUAAAACCCGCCCCUAUAGGACCCGCCCCUAUAGAGCUUUAGGGA
rnacentral:lncRNA from 1 species